GACGAACGCUGGCGGCGUGCUUAACACAUGCAAGUCGAACGGAAAGGCCCUGCUUUUGUGGGGUGCUCGAGUGGCGAACGGGAGAGUAACACGUGUGUAACCUGCCCUUGACUUUGGGAUAACUUCAGGACACUGGGGCUAAUACCGGAUAGGAGCUCCUGCCGCGUGGUGGGGGUUGGAAAGUUUCGGCGGUUGGGGAUGGACUCGCGGCGUAUCAGCUUGUUGGUGGGGGAGUGGCUUACCAAGGCUUUGACGGGUAGCCGGCCUGAGCGGGCGACCGGCCACAUUGGGAAUGGGGUACGGCCCAGACUCCUACGGGAGGCAGGAGUGGGGAAUAUUGCACAAUGGGCGGAAGCCUGAUGCAACAACGCCGCGGGCGGGAUGACGGCCUUCGGGGUGUAAACCGCUUUCGCCUGUGACGAAGCGUGAGUGACGGUAAUGGGUAAAGAAGCACCAGCUAACUACGUG
rnacentral:rRNA from 1 species